UAACAACUAUGAAAAUGUAAACAACAAAUAUCGGGCCCCGGUACCGGACCCAGCGUACCCGCCCAACCAUGAGACGAGCACCUACACUCGUCUCCCUCAUUUUGUCCAUUAGAUGGCCAUCAGCCUGUGCCGGCUGUUAUGCCAAUUCUCCCCAACGAAGAAAAUUUAACCGAACAUUUCUCUCAUCAGAUACGCUAUUUCGAAUCUCAUGCAAGUGGAUAUUUGGUUAGCUUCACUGAUGAAUUAACACUUAUGCACGUGAACGCUUCUUACACGGAAUUCCCUGUUUUUUUAUUUUAACAGCACUAAAUGGAACAGGCGACGAAAUUCCACAAAGAUAUUGCUAGUCGCCGCAAAAGAAACACGCACGAAGGCAAUUUGGAUGCAAUCGUUGCGCCAAUUUAGGAACAAUGUGCCCAAAACUGGGUAUACCACGAAUAUCGGUCGUGCAACAGGUAGGUGAUAUGAAUGGUAUUAAAUCGCUUAAUUCUACCUAAAGAGCUCUCUGGGGAGGUAAGGGGCGAUGUAAAUGGAUAAUUCCAAUUAGGCGCAGAUGCAUCACCUUUGGAAAUUCCCUCAC